AUGAACGCUGGCGGCAGGCCUAACACAUGCAAGUCGAACGGAGUUAUAUUGUAGCUUGCUAUGGUAUAACUUAGUGGCAGACGGGUGAGUAAUGUAUAGGAAUCUACCUAGUAGUACGGAAUAAUUGUUGGAAACGGCAACUAAUACCGUAUACGCCCUACGGGGGAAAAAUUUAUUGCUAUUAGAUGAGCCUAUAUUAGAUUAGCUAGUUGGUGGAGUAAUAGCCUACCAAGGCAAUGAACUAUAGCUGAUCUGAGAGGAUGAUCAGCCACACUGGAACUGAGAUACGGUCCAGACUCCUACGGGAGGCAGCAGUGGGGAAUAUUGGACAAUGGGCGAAAGCCUGAUCCAGCCAUGCCGCAUGAGUGAAGAAGGCCUUUGGGUUGUAAAGCUCUUUUAGUGAGGAAGAUAAUGACGGUACUCACAGAAGAAGUCCUGGCUAACUCCGAGCCAGCAGCCGCGGUAAUACGGAGAGGGCUAGCGUUAUUCGGAAUUAUUGGGCGUAAAGGGCGCGUAGGCGGAUUAGUAAGUUAAAAGUGAAAUCCCAAGGCUCAACCUUGGAAUUGNUUUUUAAAACUGCUAAUCUAGAGAUUGAGAGAGGAUAGAGGA
rnacentral:rRNA from 1 species